UCUUCCCCUAAAAAUAUACAGAGGAACGCAUAAAGUGUGGCUCCAGCACUCACGCUCACUAGACCACUCGGAUAUCCUGCUGCUGACUGCCAUGUUCACUCAUCCCCUGCUGGGCAGCCGAGCAGCGAAACCCCGGCCUCCGCACUCCACCGCAACCCGCAACCCUGAGAGGAACCCAGCAACCGAGUGUCGUUUUCUCUGCACAGCCAGACACGCUGCAAAAACACUAAACCUUACCCGGGAUCAUCGGUCCAGUUUAGUGCAGAAAUCAGUUUAAAUAAGACCAAACUAAAUUACAGAGAACCUCAGCAAGAUAUAGGAGCUGGUUUUAAUUCCUUAAUAUUGAUUAAAAAAAAUUUCUAGUUCCACUGGCUCAUUAUGUCACCUGUAACAUGUUAAAUUUUUCCCUUGUUUUAAGUGAAAUAAUCUGCCAGUGGAACUAAAACUUUUUCAUCAAUAUUAAAAAUCUGACUUGCUGAAAAGCUACUUGUAAGUUAGUUUGGUCUUAUUUCGACUCUACUAAAAGCGUUUUCCAAAGUGGAGCCUCAGAAAGUAAAAAAAAAAAAAUUUAACCAGAUUUUCAAUUGCAUAGAUUUUUUUAUCAUAUAAUCUGUUACUUAUUAUCAAACUUAAGUUAAAUUAACUUAUUGAAAUGUUAUUUGUCGUGCUCGUCUUUCUGAUAGCAGUGCUUCGAUUGCAGUUUCCUGGAUGAUAGACGAUCUUUAAGAAGCUCGAACUGCUGAUUCAGAUUUUGGCCGAUAUAAACGUUUUGGCCACCGAUCUCCCAAAAUUUUGAAAAUUGGGCCCAUUUAUCUGGUACACCGUCCUUUCUGAAUGGCUGCCAGUCAAAUUUAAGCUGCUUUGCUCCUCAAGCUAGUGUAGCAAGCACCCAUGGAAACGUUUCUGACAGGAAAGGGGCAGAAGGAACCGUCCAGCAGCCACACCGCAGUGGAAAACCCCAAGAAUUCAUGACCAGCUAAAAGCAGAGGCAGCAUUUAUGUUAAACAAAUGCAAUAAUUAUAAAAUUGAGAAUGAAAGAGAAAAAAAAUGUCUAAAAAACUAAAAAUACUUGGUAAAACUAGCUGUUCGCAAAUCUUUGUCAAUAUUCUGCUAAUGUCAAAAGAACACAUUUUUGCAAUUACUGUUUAAAAUCAUGCGUGAAUAAGCUUGUUGUAAACAGGUAAUGAGACGUAUUCAUAAUUGAGCCGUGGCGCUAACGCUCAUCUUUCAGCCAAUCAGAGGAGACAUUGGUGUCUUAGUCAGUGACAAGCCCCGCCCACAGGGCGUGGCUACGUAUGCAGCGUUUUAGGGGUGAUUUUACAGAUGAGCUAUAGAAUCAUCACGCUGGAAUAAUACAUAACUUUUCAUGAACUGUGAUGAUGUGAGCUGCACCUUGACUGAAAACCCCAAAACAAACCAUCAUCCUCCUACUACUUCCUGUCGUCUUCUUUGUUGUUUCCGUCAGCACUAACAUCUGGUUGUGGAUCACAUGACUCGCGUGAUGCUAAAAGCGUGUUUUGAUAUGCCUGAAAAAACUUAAUUGAAAAACGUGUUUGUUUUUUUAACAUUUCCAUUGAACAAAUUUAUUUCAAGUUGCUCCAUUUUAUGGUUAAUGGCAACGCAGCUGGUGUGUGUUUUUGCAGUGCAUGUUAAACUGUUCUGUCUACGUCUGACAUCGUGAAGAUGAGAAACAAUAAGAGCAAUUAAAAUAUUCUCUAAAACUGGAGCAGUAUCCUCUGCAGAGAGCAGCACUCUCCUUCCAGUAAGGACAUGUGAGGAUUUAUAGCUUCAGCUAAAUCCCCAAAGGGGGGGGACUAAAGGUAUAGAUAGCAGAGAAGAGUCGUUCUACUCAAAUAUGAGAAGCACUUUGGUUUCCAGCUGCAAAGUCUGCUAAUCCACUUAUUCAUGAGCUAAUCUGCCUUCUGCCGCUGCGGCAGGCGGCGAGGAGGAUAGACCGAGCGAGUGUGGGUGAAAGGAGGGAUGAGAGAGGUGCAGCACGCCUGAACUGUGUGGGGUUUCCAGGCAAGACAUGCUUCCAGUCAACAGCUGGUGAUUCACGCAAAGAAUGAGUCAGGCUCUUAUCUCUCUGACGUGACUAACAGAAAGACCAUCGACUUCUCCUAGGAAAGCUAGAGCAGCAGCUGAUGCUGCGGCUGGGUCGCUCUCAGAGCAGCGGGUCGGCAGCGGAGCGGCGGCGGCACAAAGCAGGGGGCGCUGUCGAUGUCCGAGGGGAGGCAGGUAAACACCACAAAGCACUUCGGUGGUGGAGUGAAGGUGAGUGCCGGAGCCACACUUUUAAUAAAAGCUGGUGCUCUCUCUCAGAAAAAAUAUCACACGUCACAUUCACACACACAAACACACACACGAGGACAGCUUUGGAUACACACUCCUAAAGUGCUAAAGUUUGAAAUCACAUUUAAACUCUUUACUGUUCGACUCCAAGCUGUCAGGUUUUCUUGAACAAUUGUUCUCCAGGAUUUCUGAAAGUCUUUUUUAAAGGUUUUCUUUGGACUUGGGCAGCUUCUUACUCCAGUGUUCAGCACUCCAUUUUUAAAGGAAGACUCAUUUUCGCUAAACCGCAAAACUUAUAGAUAACUUUUCCUUUAGCAUUUGUUGCUAACUUUAAAAGGCUCGGCUAAUUCAGCAUAUAUUUCAACAUUUUGUAUGAAACUACACACGUCUGGAAUAACAGCGCAUAACGUUCAGGUCAGUUAAAUUGUUGCUCGAGGGUCGGAGUCUUUCAAGAAUAUACAAUCUGAAUUUAAGCUGUUAGCGCUUUAGCAUUAGCUUCCAUUAAAUACCAUGUUGAUUUAGCACUUUACCAUGAGCAGAACUAAUGAUUGUUGUUAGAACUUCAGGAUUAGCGCAACUAACUAUUUAGUUAAUAUAAUACACUUUAUUUAAAAGGAACAAUAUGGCGCUCAAAUAUAAAAGCCAUUUGAGGUGCCACACCAGAUUAUAGAAUAAGCUAAUUUGUUGGUGCCCAUCCCUGCUCCUUUUUAUGUGCUCCACUUGUCUCAAAAUGUCACAGAAAGCUGUUAACAGACUUUCUCAAACCUCGGAGAGCUAUUGACCAAGGAGGUUUGGCUGCCUGAAUACAACAAACUCCUCAAUACUUCUGAACUGUUGUCAACAGGUGCAGUCGCAAAGCAUACAGGUGUAAACGCUCUGCAAAGCACUUGAAUGAACCAAACUCCCAAAAAAACAGAAAUACACAUACAACAGAAAACACCUAGUGGUCUGGAGGACCUGUGUUUUUGUGGAGCUAUUUGCAGCAUUGUCUGUUUGGUUGCAGCAUUUUUCCAUUUUUGUAUUUGUGCGUUUUGGAGUUUGCAUCAUUCAUGAGUUUGCAGGCAUUUUGCUGCACAUUUGUUCCUCUCGGCUACUGUACUUUUGAAUAGGAGAAUAUUCUAAAAACCUCUGUACGUCCUAAACCUUUCUGAUUGCGCGCAUUCAGAAACACAAUGCGCAGCUGGGGGGAGCAGAGGUGAACUCUGGGAGGAACAAUCCGGCCUCCUCGGCUCGCUCUGACAGCUGCUUUUAUAUCUGAAGCUCUACGCCGAUGCGGCACAUCAAAGACCAGCAUCACCAUUACAAGGCAAUUUUCACUCUCAGUGACAAUAAUAAUCACCGUGAUCCUAACAUCCAUCUCUGUGUGGAUGGCACCAUAACAGUGUUAUGAAUUACACAUUAUGCAGAAACAAAGGCUCCGCAGACGGGCCCCAUUAACACGGAGAAGGCUCCUGUGAAUUAAUGUGCGCCUUU